GCAAGUCGAACGAGAACGGAUAUUAGCUUGCUAAUAUUGUCAGCUAAGUGGCGCACGGGUGAGUAAUAUAUAGUUAACCUGCCCCAAAGAAGAGAAUAAUUGUUGGAAACGACUUGUAAUGCUCUAUAUGCCUUUAAGUCUUAAGACUGCAAGGGAAAUAUUUAUAGCUCUAGGAUCGGCCUGUACGGUAUCAGUUAGUUGGUGAGGUAAUGGCUCACCAAGACAAUGACACCUAACUGGUUUGAGAGGAUGAUC
rnacentral:rRNA from 1 species